CACAUUAUAAUAACCCUCAGACUUCGGCAGAUCGAUGACAUGCCCAUUUGAGGUUAAUUUUGCCGUGGAAACAUCUUUUUCUGUGAAAAUGAGAAAGGAUGCAAAGCUUUACACCAUAUGCGUCUCAUAAAGGAAACAGUAUUAAGUGCUUGAA